AGCAGCCGCCGCGGUAACACCAGCACCUCGAGUGGUCAGGAGGUUUAUUGGGCCUAAAGCAUCCGUAGCCGGUUGCAUAAGUUUUCGGUUAAAUCUAUGCGCUUAACGUAUAGGCCGCCGAAAAUACUGUGCAGCUAGGGAGUGGGAGAGGUACACGGUACUCGAUAGGAAGGGGUAAAAUCCUUUGAUCUAUUGAUGACCACCUGUGGCGAAGGCGGUGUACCAGAACACGUUCGACGGUGAGGGAUGAAAGCUGGGGGAGCAAACCGGAUUAGAUACCCGCGUAGUCCCUGUCUCUUAUAA
rnacentral:rRNA from 1 species